rnacentral:rRNA from 1 species
GACGGGGGGGGCAAGUGUUCUUCGGAAUGACUGGGCGUAAAGGGCGCGUAGGCGGCCCUGUUUGUCGCGUGUGAAAGCCCCGGGCUCAACCUGGGAACGGCGCGCGAUACGGCGGGGCUAGAGAUCGGGAGAGGAGCGUGGAAUUCCCAGUGUAGAGGUGAAAUUCGUAGAUAUUGGGAAGAACACCGGUGGCGAAGGCGGCGCUCUGGACCGAGACUGACGCUGAGGCGCGAAAGCGUGGGGAGCAAACAGG